AGUCCCUUCCGGGGCAGAACAGCAGCCACGUGCUCUGAGCUCUGGGAUCAGGAGGCCACGGGCCAUCUCCAAAGCGGUGCCAGGCAGCGCCUCGCAGGUGGGAACAAAUGAAUGAAUGAUAACACGUGUCAUGGAAUCGCGGGACUCCAGCAGAUGGGGCUCAAAGAAAGGAAUGCCAAAAAGGCAGCAAACUGACGGUGCUGCUGGGUGCCACUCCGGGCACAUCACACCUUCCCAUGGGCAGGACAUCUCCCUGCAUUCUGCCUUUGUCCUGGCUGUGACACUUCUUGGUUUCCAGGCAUCUACAGCCCGACUGAAGCUGUGCAAUGAUGGGCCCUGGCUCCACUGCAGGGCAGCCAGAGUUGGCCUUCAAGCUGGUGGAAGCCCACAGCCACAAGUAGCGCAGUGCCCUCACUAAGGGCACGGGCAUUUCAAACCCAAGAGCAGAAAAAGAUGGAAAAAAGAGGGAGAAAUUUGGCUUGGUUUUAACCCUGUGCUCUCCCCACAGGUGUUUUCUUUGGCCGGGUUUUAUGGCCAGACCUAAGAUUUGAAAUUCCACUCGAACUUGGAAAUUCAAACCCCAUUUUCCACUUCUGCAACCGCUCGUUCUGCAAAGCAGAGGAGAAGGGACUUGCAAAACCUUUUGCCUUCAGGUUUGCAGCAGGGCAGAAUUCAGCCCUUGGGCAGCUCACAGUUGGUCCGAGGUGCCCCAUAAUCCAGCUGUGCAGAGCUUCUAUCUGAAUUACCCUCGUGUAAGACAUCCGAUGCGGUCCGUGUUUGAGUCGUGCCAGAAGGGCUUCUCUUAUCCUCCACGAUGUGUGGUCACAUGUGGUAAUGCAAAAUUAGUGCGAGAAUAUGGGACUUCAGGAAAGCCAGCUGUGUUGGUGGGGCUUGGCCGGCUGGUUGGCUUCAGCACGAAGGAAGAGUUCAUUGCCAGCAUCUGCAGGCUUGAGGGCGAUGGGGAAAGUCUGAUCUCCGUGCUGUAUUUCAGCCAUACAAAGAGCUGGAUGGAUGCUUUUGUUUCAGUUUAUGUGCCUUAUUUCAAGUGAAUGGAGAAGGCCGCUGGAAGCAGAGCCUCUCUGCCUUCUGUAUGUAUUUUUCCUUAAGUCCAACUGAGCCUGUGCUCCCUUGUAGCUCCACCUCCUACCAACAGUGCGGUCAGUGGAGAGGAAGGAUGCUGAAAGUGAUCCCUGCAUUCUCUGGGUGCCAAAUCAGUGCAUCUCAUCCCUCCCUGCACUGAGAGCAGGAUGGAGGACAGUGAGGGAUGUCCUACAGGUGGGGAAGGAGCAUCAGUGGGUGUGAGGGACCGCAGUGCCCCUGCAGGGACUGCAGGUUUGAGAUCAGGGCUGUCUGCAAUGGGUAUUUACCCAACGUGGGGCAUCGGGUGAAGUCUGGACAAAUGGAGACAGUGGAAUUACUGAGUAAAAUGUCCCGGCCUGUCUUCUGCAGGAGGUCAUCUAGAUGAUCUGUUUGUCCCUCCUGGCCUUUAAAUCUACUAAUCUAUUUUCCCUUCCAGGAAAUAUAACUACAUUCUGAGAACAACAGCCCCUUAGGAAGAAGGAAAAAAAUAAGGCAAGAAAGCAGGCCUUUGAAAAACAACAGCAAAGAGAAAAACCCUUCAACUAUAAAAUAAACUAAGGUACAAGAUGCAAUUAACAAUGCACAAACAGCAGAGCCCGGAAUGUAAAUUGUAUUUAAAUAGGGCUGUGAAGAAUGUUUCAGUCCCCUAAAUGGCUUCUCUCUCCUGCUGCCUUGAACCUCCAAUCAAGCCCUGCCUGGGAGUAAUUUGGUGCUGGAAAUUGUUGCCACACGAACAGCUGAAGGCUGGCAGGGUCACCGGCCCCCCGUGUCACACCCUGUCAUUUUAGAUUAAGAUAUGCAAAGGCGACACGGCUGCGAACUUUCCCUUUGCUGCUGUGGCUGCGUCCAUCCCCUCGACUGUAAUGAGAGGAAGGCGUAAUUGGAGUCAACUGCUUGAUUAUGAUAAUUGCUACUGUCUGGGGGAAGAAACAUUUGAGUCCCGGAGCUUGAUCCGUGCUGCACCUUUGGGGUGAUUGCUGUCUGUUUGCCGGCAGAUGGGCCCUGCAUAGAGCAUCCCUUGGCUGGCCCCUGACCCCAACCCCACCACUUGUUGGCUCCCGAUCCCGCAGGGUCACGGGGCGUUGGGCUGCUCUCUGCCUCCCAGCAGGGCGUCCCUCCUGAAGGAUUUAUCCCCUCGGAGGGAAGGGGCCUGUUGGAAAUUUAUCCCCGGCUCUUCACGGCAGCACAAGUGGGAGAUGAGGCGCUGUAUAUUUUCCGCUGGGAUAUUUAUUGCUUUCAUUGUACAUCCCAGCAAUGGGGAGGUGGGAAAUGCAGGGAUGGAGCUGGGCUCAGGGCAGAGGGGUGACAGCGAGGGGAUGAGCGCCCAGCACAGCUCAGUGCCACCUCCCAGCAGCCCUGCCCAUGUACAACAACCUGCCCUGCAGUGCUGUGAGCACAGAGGCACGUAAAGCCCAUGUAUGUAAUUAAGGUGGCAAAAAGCGUUUUGUUAAUUAACGGCUGUUAUUUGUUAAUACUGAGCCUUAAGUGCAAAGCUCAGCUCUAGCUGUGAAGCCAUAAGCGCAGCCCGAGCAACAACAGUAACCGGCCAACAAACUAAUUGGGUCGUUAUUUCCACGAUAUCUUAAAAGUUUAACGAGAUUUUCUUGUUUUAAACAUUCACAUUCCAGAGCGUGGAGGGGAAAACAGCGCCUGCACCGAGGGGACGCUGUGCAAAUCACUGAGAGCACAGAGGGCUGCAGGUGAAGGGCUGGGAUUGCUGCUGAGCCAGGUGUGCAGGUCGGGGCUGCAGCGUGCUGUGCUGGUUGUGCACGGGGGUGGUGGGUAAGGGAGGCAUGGACAGCCAGCUCAAAACGAGUUCAUUUGAAUGAGUAUGAUUUUCCUUUUGUGCCUUUCUGCAGGGUCCAGGUGGGCGCUGUGUUAGCAGAGGGAUCGUGCUGAGCACCGGGAGGGUGCCCUGGCACCUGGGUCAGGCAGGGAUGGAUCCCCGUGCAGUUUGAUAAGAGAGGAAGAUGUUUAAUCUGCUUCCCAGGGUAGAUUAAGAGCCCCCAUAGACUGUAGCUAUGCAACAGCGUGCGUCUGACAGUGCGGAGCUCUGAGCAAAGGUGUAGCUGUUGUGAUAAAACAACUGCCUGCAUUUCAUUAACAAAACUGUGUGUCAAAGUGUCAUUAAGCGACAGAGGGCUCGAAAUAACCCUGUGGGUCAGGAGAUCACUGCAGCUGUGUACCCACAUACCGCAGGGCAGAGAGAAUCCAGAGGGUCUCACACCCACCUGAAGGGCCGGACCUGCUUAUUGCCACAAGAAGUAAUCAGGCCACUUUGCAAGCAGGUGUGUUAACUUCAGUCUGCAGGAGAGGAGCAUUUGCUGUGAGCACAGCUCGUAUCUGUGCAGAUAGCGUUGGCAGGAGCUCUUCCUGGCUGCCCGCCUGGCUGGAGGCUUGUGUGUACCUAGGAAAUGGCUUGCCAGCUCGAACCUAUUCAUUCAAAGUCAGCCUUCAGUUAGAGCUCACACCCUUUCCUCCAGAAAAGAUUCAUGUGCUGUUACUCAUUUACUACUAUGGCCUGUUUUUGGCAUCGCCCUGGAAGCCGGGACGGCUGGGGGGGGCAGGCAGCCCCAGCUGCUGAGGGAGGUGCCCCCGUGGCACUCAGUGCAAUGAGUUGGGACCCUGCAGCUCAGGUCCGUGACACUAUUGACUCUAUUAAUUUAUGGGAUAACUCGUCCUUUGGGAGAGUUCCUUCCUAAUCUCCAUUAGUUCGAGAUUGCUUUAUGCUUUUGCAGCAAGGAAUCUUCAUCCGUUUGCUCUGUAAGCUUUCUUAAAGUUUAUCCCUGUGAUUCUGGAUAUCGUUUAUUUCAAUUUGAGUCUUUCUUUACUCUUUGUUCCCAACCCGCUGCACCUCGGCCUCAGGAAUGUCCUGGGGAGUCAGCAGAGCCGGGGCUGCAGGUGAAUUCUCCCUCCACCUAUAAAUACUGAUUCUUUUGACAGUUUUGUUUUAUUCCACUGAAAAUUGCCAAAGUACACUCCGAGCUGUUCUCUCACUGUUUUCUUUUGACAUAGGAAAUGCCGAAGGCGGCUGACAAAAAAACUUCUCUUAUAAUUGCAGCUUUAUUUUGCCAAAUUCUGAGCCGUCAUUUGCUGCCAGCAAACCCACCUCUUCCAUCCAGGAGCUGGUGACAUUGAUGGAGCCGCAGAUCGGAUGCUCCCUGGAUGAGGUGGGCUGCCUGCAGCCCUCAACACGCUCUUCCCUCCCCGCUGCUGCCCGCCCUGAGGUCUGCUCCAGCGCAGGGAGGUCUGGCACUCUUGAACCUGAGGUCAAAAACAAGAGGGAGGAAAAGAAUGGCCUUCAGGCCAGAGGAAGAAACCAGGGCAACCGGGCUCUUAACGUGAUAAAAGGGCUUUAUCUCAAAGCACUUAAACAAAACACACAAGCCUGAGAGAAGAGGCUCUGUCAAGUAUCCGCCGGGGACAGGGGGAAAUUGCAAAUCCCCACAGGACACAGGGGCUCUUUCUUCACUGUGCUGGGGCUGGGCAGGUGAUGGGUGCUGGGGAAGGGCUGCAUGGGCACAGAUCAGACUGUGAGCAGCUGUUAGAGAACAGAUCGAGGGCACGGGGAGCGGGCAGCAGUGCUGGAGAGGGGCAGGAGGGAAUGGGAGAUGGGACAUGCAGCAGCAGGUGGGCACGGUCCCAUCCCCUGUAUUGGGGAGUCAGUGUAAAUCGGUGCCACCUCUGCGCUUGGUGGUGGAUGGGAGCAGUUUGCAGGAGUUGGAGGGAAGGUUUGGUCUCUGGGUUGUUCCCAGGUGUAUGGGCAGGGAGCACAACCCACCCCUGGGUCUCUUCAGCCUUUGUUUGGGGCACGUCCUCAUCCCCUGUGGGUGCCCAUGGUGUCUUUCCCUGCCGUGGUGCAGUGAGGACCGUGCAAAGCUCCCAGUCAUGAAUUUCCCCUCGCUGCUGCCAGGCUGUUAUUGCUGUGCGCUCCCUCCUGACUCCAUCUGUCUGCAUGGUGCUACCGCUCUGUGCCAGGAGGGCUCCGGGACCACUGGGGUCACGGCUGCCCCAUUACGGGGCGAGAUUUAUCAUUGGCAGGUGUGCUGCGGGAUGGUAUAUUAUCCAGGAUUAUGAACUGUAACAGGAUAAUCUCUCUAAUGUAAUUCAAGCUCUCGACAUGGCUUAUGGCUCCUUAAUGUACCUCAGACUGAAGAAUUACAAGAACAUUUUCCCCCCUCCCUACCUUGUCAGCUCCUAAAUGAUUUAGGCAAUCGCCUGAAGCCAGAUCUUGGCCUCC